UACGUAGGUGGCAAGCGUUAUCCGGAUUUAUUGGGCGUAAAGAGAACGCAGGCGGUCUUUUAAGUCUGAUGUGAAAGCCUUCGGCUUAACCGGAGUAGUGCAUUGGAAACUGGGAGACUUGAGUGCAGAAGAGGAGAGUGGAACUCCAUGUGUAGCGGUGAAAUGCGUAGAUAUAUGGAAGAACACCAGUGGCGAAAGCGGCUCUCUGGUCUGUAACUGACGCUGAGGUUCGAAAGCGUGGGUAGCUAACAGG
rnacentral:rRNA from 1 species